UUGAACGCUGGCGGCAGGCUUAACACAUGCAAGUCGAGCGGCAGCGCGGGGGCAACCCUGGCGGCGAGCGGCGAACGGGUGAGUAAUACAUGGGAAUCUGCCCUGUGGUGGGGGAUAACUCGGGGAAACUCGAGGUAAUACCGCAUACGUCCUACGGGAGAAAGCGGGGGAUCUUCGGACCUCGCGCCAUAGGAGGAGCCCAUGUCCGAUUAGCUUGUUGGUGAGGUAAUGGCUCACCAAGGCGACGAUCGGUAACUGGUCUGAGAGGAUGGUCAGUCACACUGGAACUGAGACACGGUCCAGACUCCUACGGGAGGCAGCAGUGGGGAAUAUUGGACAAUGGGGGCAACCCUGAUCCAGCCAUGCCGCGUGUGUGAAGAAGGCCUUCGGGUUGUAAAGCACUUUAAGUGGGGAGGAAGGCUCGCAGAUUAAUAAUCUGCGGGAGUGACGUUACCCACAGAAUAAGCACCGGCAAACUCCGU
rnacentral:rRNA from 1 species